AGGAGAGGGAGAGGGGCGGCACUAGGGAGGGGCGACAACUUAGGGGUUUUUUUGGGGGUACUGUUCAUGGCACUGUAGCGCGCCGCCCGCCUAGCAACUUACAAAAACUAUAACCAUUUGGUCCGAACUCCAAACGCGACAUGUAAAUAGUCAAACGGAAUGUACUCGACGAGCUCUACGCAACCAUAGUGUCCGUUUUUCCAUUCGAUCAAUGGAUAAAAAAAGUUAAUUUUGGCUAUCAACUUUGCGCUUUCCCAUGCAGAAAGUGUAUUUUGCCCUUUGUUUAUUUUGGGUGUUACAUUCUCCCCUCCUUAAAGAAAUUCGUCCUCGAAUUCAGCAUCACUAAUGCAUGAUUGGGAAAAAGAACCAUAUAUAAACAACCAAUUACUUAUCAGACUCGAGGAGCUCUGGAUAUUUCUCGCGCAUCUGCGCCUCCAAUUCCCAUGUGGCUUCCCGCUCUGACUGAUUAGUCCAUAGAACCUUCACAUACUUGAUGGUUCUAUUCCACAUAACACGAUCAGAAAAUCCAAUAUGCACACUGGGUGACACUCCAUAGUCAAAUCCUGCUGAAUAGUCAAUGGCUCAACAUGCAUCUUCUGCUUUGGAUCCUUUAGAUACAUCCUCAGCAUCGAUACAUGGAACACGGGGUGCACAUCACCCAUCUACUCAGGCAACUACAAAUGAUAAGCUAAUGAUCCGACUUGAGCAGUGAUCUUAUACGGUCCAAUGUACCACGGGCUGAGCUUUCAUCUGAUGCCAAAACGAACAACACCUUUUGUUUGUGAAACUUUGAGAAGAACCUCAUCGCCAACCGAGAACUCUAAAUCCCUUCAUCUGACAUCUCCAUAGCUCUUAUGAUGACUCUGAGCGGUCAACAAGUUCUUACGAAUCUCCCGUACAUUAUCAUGAGUAUGUUGUACCCAAUGCGAACCAACCAAAGACCUCUCACCAACGACAUUCCAACAAAGUGGGGAAAUACACCUGCAGCCAUACAAUGCUUCAUAUGGAGCCACUUUGAUACUAGCCUGAUAACUGUUGUUAUAAGCAAACUCUACCAAAGGCAAGUGAUCUUCCCAACUACCCUUCUAGGAGAGGACACACGAUUGCAACAAGUCUUCUGUUAUCUGAAUAGUACACUCUAACUGACCAUCCGUCUGAGGGUGAAAAGCAGAGAUCCAAUCUAGUGCCCAAAGCACUAUACAAGCUUUUUCAAAAAUUAGAUACAAAUUUGGAAGCACGAUCAGAAACAAUAGACUUAGGCACACCAUACAACAUUACCACUUCCUUGACAUACAAGGGAACCAAAUCUGAAGCAGAAUUUGUAGUCUUUAUGGGAAUAAAAUGGGCAACCUUCGAGUCUAUCAAUUACAACCCAAAUAGCAUCCUUACCCCUAGGGGAACGAGGUAAGCCAACCACAAAGUCUAUGGUAAUAUUCUCCCAUUUCCAAAUAGGGAUCUCCAAUGGUUUCAAUAAUCCAGAUGGCCUUUGAUGCUCGGCCUUCACUUUCCGACAAAUACCACAAGAAGCCACAUAUUUAGCAAUAUCAACCUUCAUUCGCUUCCAUCGGAAGUUUUGCUUCAAAUCCUGAUACAUCUUUGUCUCACUAGGGUGCACUGUAUAUGGACUACGAUGAGCUUCCCUCAAAAUCUCCAUCUUUACUACAGCUUUCUGUGGUACACAAAGACGACCUCUAAGAAAAAUAGUGCCAUCCUCCUCCAUAGUGAACUCACGAGGUCUCCCCGCCAAAAUAUGCUUGCGAACAGCCUGAAGCAAGCGAUCCUGCAAUUGUGCCACCCGCACAUGCUCACACAAUGGUGAUUGAAUCAACAGCUGAGUCUCCUCACGGGCAACACCAGCAUAGCAGAGAGAAAAACCCAUACGGUCCAAGUCAACUAUCAAAGACAUACAAGUCUUAGGUACACCGGUCCUACUAAGCACAUCUGCAACAACAUUUGCCUCGCCAGGAUGAUACUGGAUAGUGAAACCAUAAUCCUUAAUCAACUCGAGCCACCUCCUAGGUCUCAAUUUUAACUCCUUCUGAAUGAAAAUAUACUAAGACUCUAAUGAUCUGUAAGGAUAUCACAUGACUCACCAAUAGAGAUAAUGUCUCCAAAUCUUCAAUGCAAAAACACACUGCUGCUAACUCUAAGUCAUUGUGUUGGAUAAUUCUCCUCAUGCUUCCUCAAUUGCUUUGAUGCAUAAGAGAUCACCCCUACACUCCUACAUGAGCAUACAACAAGACCGACAGGGGAGGCAUCCGUGUACAUUGUGAAAUGCUUGCCACUCUCUGGCAACACUAAAAUAGGGGCACUCAGCAGCUUCUCCUUUAAAGUAUAAGAACUUACCUAACAAUCAUCAGUCCAGACAAAUGGAACACCCUUCAUAGUUAGCUUCGUCUUCUACUUUGCAAUGGUGUAAAAUCCUAAACAAACCAACGAAGUAACCAGCAAGACCAAGAAAACUUCAAACAUCCAUGGUAGUUGUCGGUCUCUCCUACUCAACCAAAGAAGCAACAUUCCAGGGAUUAACAAUGAUACCAUCCUGAUUAAAUCUUCUAUAAUGCACACAAAGUUUUUUGUUCUAUCAUUCUUUUCCACAAAUAUCAUAGGAGUUGUUCAAAGCAAGACUCUUGUCUAAUAAAUCCUUUUGCUAUAAGAUCACCAAUCUGUUUGGUCAAUUUCUUUUGCUAAAUGGCUACCAUCCUAUAUGGAGACCUAAAGAUGGGAUGAGUUCCCUGAAUCAACUUAAUCCUAAAUAGAGGCUCCAAUUUAGGAGGCAAACAUGGCAACUCAUCAGAUGAAUCCUUUGUCUUCUAACCAUUGUUGGGGCUACAUCCUCUACUCCUGCACCUGGAGAAGGAGUCUUUGGUCCAUACACGUUUUAGGGAGCAGCAAGACCCUCCGGAUCAGCUCCACCUCCUCCUCCUCCAGAUUAUGGUUUUGGUACUUUUGGAGCUCCAGGGACAUCCACUAUGGCACCUCUGCAUCAUACACAGACAGAAGCUUCACGUCCCUCGGCAACAGAAACCUUUGCUCAAUCCACAGCUGCCUCCAUUUUUGGUACUCAUCCUGGUAUGCAUGAUUGGGGUGAUCGGACUCCCUCAGAUGCCACUAGCAAUGGGGGUAAUGGACAGUGAUUGGCGCCAAGCUACUUCUCCCAGGGCCUUUAUGGUGAUAGAUGACAAAAGGGGAGAAGAACAUGGAUUAAAACUUGGAUUAAAGCUUCAGUUUGGCAAAGGAGAGAAGGAGAAGAGUAGAAGAAAAUCUCAAUUCAGAGUGUGUCUGUUUUAGCAGGACCGGUCUGACCGGUCUGUUGGACUGGUCUGACCGGUCAUCAUUUCUGUACUCUAAAAUCUGUAAUAAUUUGUAUCUUAUUUUUAUUUGUGGACUUGAGGCUUGUAAUCUGUGCUACUAUGUGUUAUGAACAGUUUUUAAUUUAUCUAAGUUAAUA